GAACCCAGAGAUACACUAUACUGAGGUCCAAAUACGUGAUAACAGCUGUGGCCAGGGAGGGAGCUCACCAGAUUCCUCAGGAACAGUGGAUCGCUCCAAUCUGCAAACAGUGUAUGAUAAACUGGAGGCUCAUCGCAUCCUGCCACAAACAGACACAACAGGGAAUGGUUCAGAACAACAUUACAGCAACUGCUGAACAAAUCACUGAAAUAUUUGUAUGGAAAUGAGUCAAUUGAAUCAGCAGAUUGAACUUGAAUUUGAAGGUGUCCUCAAAAAAGUGUCCAGACUUGUUUUUGGGUCUUUCAGACUAAACUGCCUAGGCCCUUACAAAAUAACCAGACGAAGUUGGCCUUGGUCCUGGAUUGCUGAAAGUCAUCUCACAGCUGUUUGGCAAGUACAACACAUUUCAUUAUCACAUUUCAAACACACCACAUGACACGAGGAGAAAAUGUGAAGGUCUCGUGUCCAUUUCAGUUUGUUGUAAUUAUUUUCUUCUUUUAAUUGUAUUCAUUUUAGCUCUAUUUUGUUUAGCUUUGUAUGUAUUGCAUUUAUUUGCUAGUGAAUGCAAGAGUACCAAACUGCUGACAAAAUGGCAGACAUAGAUGCAGACAUUUUUACCUCUGCCUCCGCACCUGACAGGAAGUCAUGUGACAUUAGCAGCAGACGUUUGACGUUAGAGAGGAGGGAGAGAAAGGAUAGGAGAGAGAAGCACAUUGAAAUAGAGAGGGAGGAGGAGAAAGGACCAUAAAGAAGGAUAGGAGA